GACAGAGGGUGCAAACGUUGUUCGGAAUUACUGGGCGUAAAGCGCGUGUAGGCGGCCGGGCAAGUCGGGUGUGAAAGCCCAGGGCUCAACCCUGGAAGUGCAUUCGAUACUGCCUGGCUAGAGUCCCGGAGAGGAUGGUGGAACUCUCGGUGUAGAGGUGAAAUUCGUAGAUAUCGAGAAGAACACCGGUGGCGAAGGCGGCCAUCUGGACGGUGACUGACGCUGAGACGCGAAAGCGUGGGGAGCAAACAGG
rnacentral:rRNA from 1 species